UACGUAGGUGACAAGCGUUGUCCGGAUUUACUGGGCGUAAAGAGCGCGCAGGCGGUCGUUCAAGUCGGGUGUGAAAGCCCCCGGCUCAACUGGGGAGGGUCAUUCGAUACUGAUCGACUCGAAGGCAGGAGAGGGAAGUGGAAUUCCCGGUGUAGUGGUGAAAUGCGUAGAUAUCGGGAGGAACACCAGUGGCGAAGGCGACUUCCUGGCCUGUUAUUGACGCUGAGGCGCGAAAGCUAGGGGAGCAAACGGG
rnacentral:rRNA from 1 species